UAAUUCUUCUUCUUCUCUAAGCACCAUGACAGGAGCACAGCCUUUCCAGAGGGUACCUACCUAAGUUGAAGGUGGCCUUAAGUUAUCUCUAUAACCAGGUGCUCCAGAAGAGGGGGAUGAGCAUCAUUAAGCAGUGAGCAGCAUCAGGAAGACUCCUGUCACUUGUCAGCAGACUUGACUUUCAGUAAACAGUUGGUGUCUAUGAAAAUCUAACUGUCUUGUUAAAGAGAGUGAUUUCUGCAUUUGGCAUUUGAAAGACUAUGGAGGAGGCUUGAGUGGCAUUCCCACCAUGUUUCCUGAGCACAGAGGUCAGCUUUGCAAAGACACUGCUUGGAAGUGGACUGCGCAGGCUUCUUAGAUAUGUAGCCAUCUUCUGGGACCUGCCAGUCUUGGAGAGAGAGAAGAUCCAGAAUUCUACAAGCCGCAAACACACUGUAUUAGAGCAGGCUGAGAUCAGAUGGCUGGGGAGAAAUACAGAUGGAUGGAGUUAAGUAUGGGCGAAAUCAACGUUUCCAGAUGCACAGGGUGGACUAAGGGUGCUGUUCUUUUUGAUGAAGAGCAAGGACAAGAAGCAUCUCUUGUGAAUCACUAGGCAGGUGUUUGCUCUCUGGGGAAGUGACAGGAAACUCAUCCCUGACCCGAGGUUACUGGGAGGAAAGAGCUUCUUUUGGUUUUGUUUCUCUGCUUGGUGUACAAGUCAGUGCCCUGUCUAGGGAAGAAGAACGCAGAUGAUCCUUGGAUGUCCCCAAGGGAAGAAUGACCACUCUAUUACAGAAUUAAGGUCAUCUAGAGAUCCUGUUUCCUAUUGCACAUGAAUAUGGAAUUUGGUAACAGAAUAAACAUGACAUUUGGAAUGUUCCUAGAGCAUACUUAGGGCAACUGGCAAGGCUGACAUAGCUUUUACUGAUCUGUCUGUUUAGUGAGUGGACAGGAUGCCAGUCUGGCAGUUUGCAUUGGCAAUAAAUCACUACUAGACAUUUUAUUUAAAAUCUGGCACUGGCUUUGGAGAGGUGAGGGAUUGUCAAUUUGUUUUUAUUUUGAGGCCAGGCACAAUCAUAACACAAACAGGCCACCUGGAAACUUUAGCACAUAUGUAAAAGUGUGGCCCUGGUCUGUGGCCAUUGCAUGCUUGGCAGGAGCAGGGAGAGGUAAAUGAGAGUAAGCACUGUUGACCAGGAAGACUCUGGCAGACCUGUGCAGCCCGAGGCAGCCCUGCUGGAAACCAUGCUGGAUCCGAAAGUGUGAUAUAGGAAGGCUAUCAUCAGCAUAAUAGAUGAGAUAAAAUUUGUUUUCCUGUUUUAUCAUGAGAUUCUCACAGAAUACAUUAGGAACACACAAGCAAUGCAUUCCAUCCGAGAGAGAGAGAGAGAGAGAGAGAGAGAGAGAGAGAGAGGUCACUCCAACAAUAAAGUUAAGUAUUGAGCUGGUUUGUUCCUGCCUUUGCCAUCCUCCACCUCAUGUCUUUUCUUCUUCUCUUCCUCUGGUUUUCUGCCUUUAUUUUUGUCUUGGAUUGCCCCUUUUUUAAAGGAUAAAUUGUGAUCAAUGUCUCGCAGUUUUGAGUGAAAAAAUAUUUCACGGUAGGCACUGGAAAUGUUCUUCGGUGUAGAGUUACUGCCUAGCAAGCAUGAAAUUUAGCUUCAAUCAUAGUGCUCACACACAUGCAUACACAUGUGCGAGAAUGCAUACACACUUAUGUACACAUGCAUGCAUACGCAAGGAGAAGUUUAGACUCUUACAGCUACUGCAGUGGCAGAAGUUAGGGCUCCUUUUCCACUCUCAGCAAUUGUGUGAUUUUCUGAAUAUUGUGUAAGGCUGAAUAGUAUCACUGUGUAGCUUUUUUAGUUUUUUCAUUGUGAACAUAUGAGCUACUCCCCCUGCCCCCUAGGAAAACCAUAUUUCAAGUACACCGACUUACUAAGACACCAGUCUUCUUGUCUUCAUUUGCAUGUUAUAUUUACAAACCUUAAUUAGUCUCCACCUUGUUACUGUGCAAACUCUUAGGAUCACUUAGAUAUAUCUUUGUGAAUGGCUUCAUUUGUUCAUUUAUUAGAAAUAUAUAAUUUACUCAUUAAGCUACAAAUAUUUAAAUGACCCCGACUUGGCUUUCAAAGAGCAUUUCACCUCUUUUCCUUGAUUUUAUAUGUAUAGUUUUCAUAAUAGUAUAUAGCUAAAAGUAGGAAAAAUAUAGACUGGUAUCUUCUUGGUAAAAUCAUUUGAAGUGAUGUAAUGGUCAAAUGCAAAGGAAGGCACCAUUUUAAUGCUGUACUGAAGACACUCCUGGUAUUCAGGACAUUUGUACCUAAAGAUACCUGGUAUUAAAUACUCAGAAAAACUGUCGAAAUUAGAUUUAUGACCUCAAGGACUUUUCUUUGUUUCGAUAAAUGUAGUAUUAGACUGUUUACAAAACGUUCUCAAAAGUUUUCUUAUGAAUGUAAUAGGGAGUCUGUUGCUACAAUGUCCCAUGACUAAGCCAUGACUUAGUUGGUUGAAGACAUUCAUAAAAGGAUACGAAGAAAAGCAGAAAAUGAGAGCCAGCCUCAGUGAAGCCACUUAAAAACACCACAGUUCUGGUAGUUUGAACAUAUCCAAUGGCUGCUUUGAGUGUCAACUCAGCAAAUCUGUGCCCCGAAAGAUCAAGUUGGGGUGUGUAGGUAAUGACACAGAUCCCUAUAUUUAGGAUCCCGGGAGCUCUGAGAGAUACAGUCACUUAUUGGGCAUUUGCAUUUCUAUCUGACUGCCCACAGGUAACAGUGGCAAACAGACUUCCAUCCUGGUACCUGUUUGCAGCAUUUUUUUUUUUUUGAUUCAAUAUACACAUGAAUUUGGAUUGCAGUUUUCUGAUCUGGGUGUCUUCUAUCUAUUUUAAGGGCAUACAUACAUCUCCAUGUGUAUGUGUUUACAGGGCUCUCGGGUUUAGAAUGUUAAGCUUUAUGUAUUUAAUUAAUUCAUUAAUUAAUUUCUCCUAUGCUAUGGUUGUUACAGAGCACAAAUUAUUUGUGUGUGUUAAUUAGAGUGUAAUUUUAAAUUAAUUAAAUUUGUGGAUUCAAAAUAUU
rnacentral:misc_RNA from 1 species